GAUUAUGGUUGUUUGUGUUUCCAAGCAGACUUCUACUUCUUAACUACAUACUUAUAUUUCAUGCGGCCAUGUGUUUGUGUCCUUUAAAUCUUGGAAUAGGCUACUCAUAUCAUAUGUAUGAUAGAAAGAAUUCUUCCUUUUACCUUAGUAUAUAAACUGUAUUGGAAAAAAAUUAAAUUUAAAUUAAAAAUGAUGUGGCAUGAUACGUGGACUGGUCAAAUAGUCAAAGCGAAUAAUCGAGUAAAAGGCACGGGAGACAACAGAUACGGGAAGAGAAAUUUAAACAGGCAUGAGAAGGAGUUUAGACACGAGUCUCGUACCAAUUCAAGUCAUUUAAUGCCAAUGGAUCAAAAGGCAUUGAAGACAAGGAUCUGAAGACAAAAAGGAGUCCAAAUUCAGUAUUAAAUACCUGAUACGUUUGAGAAUUUAUAUUUAAUAGGAAUGAUUGUGUAACGGCUUAUUUAAUGUCAUUUAUUACUCAUAAUUGUAUCGUUAAAGCUUAGGUUUCAUUCCUUUACCUAGGAUCAACUAUAAAAGGAAAGAGUCUCAUAAUUUGUAAGGACACGGAAAAUCAACUACAUCAUAUUAAAAUACAAACUUGUUUAUUACUUUAUUCUUAUUCUCUGAAAGCCUAUUAUCUUUUUUUGGUCUCUUGACUAUCAGUAACCCGAUUUCUUAUCUUAAAUUCUAGCUUUGACCAAAAUAUUAUUUUUUGGUUAAACAAAUUGGUUCCGUUACCGGGAAUCUGAUAAUCCAUUCCUUUUUAGGUUACAUUAUGUUAACAUCAUGUCAAACAACAACGAUAACAACAAUCAGAAAAAUCUGAUCCAUCAAGUGGAGGUGGAUGAGCUCAAUAAUGUUAUGCCUCAAGCUUCUCCACGUGGAUCUCGAGAAGGAACUCCUAAUGAUAUGUCUGAACAUGUUGAUGGAGAAGUUGAAACAAGAAAUGAACUUCUCCAAAAAAUAAUUGAUGCACGAAUUGACAAAGCUUUGGAAGCUUUAAUUAGUCGAUUGCAUGUUGUGCCAGCAGCGCCUAAUAAUAACACGUUGGAAAACUCCCGCUCUGGUCUAGUUAAUUCUGGUAAUGGAGCAACCCCAGUGAUUCACAAGAAGGGGAACCAAGUAAUUCAGAUUACUCUCAUCUUCAAAAUUUAGUACUAACCUUGCAGAAACAGCUCACUGAGCAAAAUGAGCGUAUCGAGCAAAUCUCUGGAGUUCCGCCUGUAAUAAAAGGAGUAGACAUGGAUAAAUACUCACAACAACCUUGAAAACCAAGCACUGCUCCCCUACCAAUUCCGAAAAAAUUCAAAAUACCUGACAUCCCCAAAUAUGAUGGUACAACAGACCCACGUGACCACGUAAUUGCGUUUACAACAGGAGUGAAAGGCAACGAUUUGACCAAACAAGAAAUUGAAUCAGUAUUGUUCAAAAAUUUUGGGGAGACGCUCACCAAGGGUGCAUUAACCUGGUAUUCUUUUUUACCUGAAAAUUCUAUAAAUUCUUUUACUGAGAUUGCAGAUUCUUUUAUUAAAGCAAAAUCGAGAGCUCAUAAGGUCGAGAAAAGGAUGGAGGAUAUCUUCAAAAUCAAACAAAGAAACUCUGAGUUGCUCGGGGAUUUUGUUGAUAGAUUCCAACGUGAAAGAAUGACUUUGCCCCGUAUACCAGAUAACUGGCCGGCGAUAGCUUUUGCAAGUAAUUUGAACGAAAAAAGUUCAGAAGCCACGAGAAGGCUUAAAGCCUUCGUGAAUUUCCCGCAACCACUUAGAACGAUGUUUAUAAUAGGUACAGUACAAAGCUUAGAAUCGAAGAAGAUACCGUACCUCAAUAUCAUCAUGAAUAAAGGAGUGGGUCCAGGAGGUCAGAAGAUGAAAAAAGAUCAGGUAAGAAUAGGAACAAUCCAUAUAUGGGACCUGCAGGAAAAUAUUCAUGAUCUAGACAGAAUAACCAACGAUAUGAUCAAAGGUCAAGAGAUAGGAAAACCGGGUCUUCAUCUAGGUUCAGAGGCGAUCGAAGCAACCAAGAGACAUGAGAUGACGAUGGGAAUUUAAUGGCACGAUUUGCUGGUUAUAAUUUCAAUGUAACUAAUUCUGAGCUCGCAGCUUUUGUGAGGGGUAUGGGAGAUAAGGUACGGUGCCAAAAAAGAUACUGUCAAAUCCAAACAGACGUAACCGGACCAUUGGUGCAAGUUCCACAAUGACCACGGGCAUAAAACAUCAGAAUGUAGAUUCUACAAAGUGAAGUAGACCAUCUACUGAAGCAAGGAUAUCUCACAGAGUUGUUUAGUGAGAAGGGAAAACAGGCUUACAUGAAAAAUAGGCAGGAGCCACCAAAACCACCAUCACCUAAGAGAGCGGUGAACGUCAUCAGUGGAGGGGAAGAUAUUGGCGGAGUAACGUACACGGUUUCAAAUAAGGUUUCCAAAAUGACGAUCACACACGGGAAUUAUCGGUGGAGGGGAAGAUAUUUGUGGAGCAACGUACACGGCUUCAAACAAGGUUUCCAAAAUGACGAUCACACACGGGAAGCGAGUACGGUAAGCCUAAGAACACGAAAGCAUAAGCUUUGAUGAUGCAGAUACAGAAGGAGUGAUUACUCUCACAAUGAUGCAUUAGUAAUAUCCUUACUUAUACAUGACACUGAUGUAAACGAGUUUUGAUUGAUCCAGGAAGUUCUGCAAAUAUCAUUCUACUAAGGGUAUUGCUGGAAACGCAAGCUGAAGAUAAAAUGCUACCCAAGGCGCAUCUUUGUCAGGCUUCGACAAUUCAAGCGUGGUAACAAAAUGUGAGGUAAUUCUAACAACUUUUGCUGGAGGUGUUAUUAAAGAAACUAAAUUUCAGGUAGUUGAUAUGGAUAUGGCCUGCAACAUAAUCAUGGGGAGACCAUGGAUCCAUGAUAUGGAUGUUGUUCCAUCAACUUUGCAUCAAGUUAUUAAGUUUCCAUCACCCUGGGGAAUACAUCAAAUUCGAGGGGAUCAACAAGCAUCCAGGAAUAUCAACAUUGUAACAGAUACGAGUACCGUGAGUAAAGAGAAAUAACUAUUACAGGAAACAGUUGGAGGUGUCAACAAUCAAACUUCAACUCAACGAGAAAAAAGGGAUUUAGACUCAAGACCUGAUGUAAUUCAAGAACCUGAAGAAAAUGAGAACGUUAAAACAACAAUAGAAGAGCUCAAGAAUGUGGUGCUAUUUGAGCAAUGGCCUGAAAAAAAGGCUUACGUAGGAGCCAAUCUGAAUUCCGACAUGCGAGGUAUGUUAAUUGAAUUUUUAAAAGCUAACGUGGACUGUUUUGCUUGGUCCCACGCUGAUAUGACAGAAGUACCACCUGAUGUGAUGACUCACAAACUCAACGAGGACCCAUCUUUCACACCUAUAAAGCAAAAGAAAAGAAAGCAAGGUGCAUUCAAGAAUCAGGUAAUUCAAGAUGAAGUCCAAAAAUUAUUAAAGAAUAAAUCAAACUGUGAGGUAAUGUAUCCUAAUUGGUUAUCUAAUACAAUGGUCAUAACGGUAAGUGGCGUGUUUGUGUGGAUUAUACUGAUCUAAACAAAGCUUGCCCAAAAGACUCUUUCCCUUUACCACAUAUAGAUCAGUUAAUUGACGGAACCGCAAGUUAUGAACUUCUAAGUUUUUUAGAUGCAUAUUCGGGAUAUAAUCAAAUUAAAAUGGAUCCUGAUGAUGAGGAAAAAACUCACAUAAAGAUCAGUUAAUUGACGCAAUUGCAGGUCAUGAAUUUCUAAGUUUUUUAGAUGCAUAUUCGGGAUAUAAUCAAAUUAAAAUGGAUCCUAAUGAUGAGGAAAAAACUUAUUUCAUCACAGACAGGGGGACUUACUGUUAUAAAGUAAUGCCCAUUGGUCUCAAAAAUGUUGAAGCAACCUAUCAAAAGUUAGUCACCAAAAUGUCUCAAGAACAUUUAGGAAUAACUAUGGAGGUAUAUAUAGACGAUAUUCUCAUCAAAACCCAGCAUUCUCACGAUCAUAUUUCUCACUUAUCUAUUACAUUUGAAAUUUUANNNNNNNNNNNNNNNNNNNNNNNNNNNNNNNNNNNNNNNNNNNNNNNNNNNNNNNNNNNNNNNNNNNNNNNNNNNNNNNNNNNNNNCUUAUCUAUUACAUUUGAAAUUUUACGGAAAUUUAACAUGAAACUCAACCCAGAAAAGUGUGAAUUUGGAGUUGCUUCAGGUAAAUUCUUGGGUUUUCUUGUUUCUAACCGUGGCAUUGAAGUAAAUCCUUCUUAGAUUAAAGCAGUAGAAGAAAUACCUGAUAUCCUUACCAAUAAGAAGGAGGUUCAAAGAUUAACGAGAAAGAUUGCCGCCUUGGGAAGAUUUAUUUCUAAAUCUUCAGAAAAAUGUUUUAAGUUCUUCUCUGCUCUCAAAAAGCAAGACCAUUUUGAGUGGAACAAAUAUUGUCAACAAGCCCUUAGGAGCUUGAAAGCUUACUUAUCAAAUCCUCCAUUGAUGGCGAAACCAAAGGAAGGUGAAACAUUGCUUAUCUACUUAGCAGUAUCAAAAGUCGCGGUAAGUGCUGUUUUGGUACGAGAAGACCAAGGUAAGCAAUCCUCUAUUUAUUAUGUAAGCAAAUCUUUGCUGAGACACGAUAUCCACAAAUAGAAAAGUUAGCAUUAGCUUUGAUCAUGGAAUCUAGGAAAUUAAGACCUUAUUUUUUUUUCAAUGUCAUCCAAUUGUCAUUGUUACUUCUUUUCCAUUACGAAACUUUUUGCAUAAACAUGAAUUAUCAUGAAGAUUAGCAAAAUGGGCUAUAGAAUUAAGUGAGUAUGAAAUCAUUUAUCAGCCUAGGACUGCUAUAAAAUCCCAAGUUCUCGCUGGUUUCGUAGUGGAUUUUAGUCAAGGGAUGCAUUUAGAAGCAGGAAAAGAAUUACAAGUCUUUAAUGGAAUAAGCCCAGGAACUUGGAUUUUGUGUACUGAUGGUUCAUCUAAUGUAAAAGAAGCAGACUUAGGAAUUGUUCUUAAACCACCUACGGGUGAGACCAUUAGACAGGGUAUAAUAUAUCACCCUGUAACUAACAAUGAAGCAGAGUAUGAAGCUCCGAUUGCAGGUUUAGAGUUGGCACUGGAACUUGGCAUCACAGAAAUUAUAAUCAAAAGUGAUUCACAGCUUGUGGUAAAUCAAAUGCUAGGGACUUAUGUAGCCACGGAAACAAGAAUUCAAGAGUAUCUUGAAAAGGUACGAGAACUGAUAAGAUAGUUCAAAACUUGGAAGGUAAUGCAAAGCCCAAGAGAGGAAAUGCGGAGGUAGAUGCUCUAGCUAAUCUUGCAUCUGCGGUGACAUAGAAAAUGAUGCAAACGCUUCAAUCAUACAUUUAUUCCAUUCCGUUCUCGAAUCUGACAAAAAUGAGGUAAAUUUUAGUCACUUAACUUGGGAUUGGAGAAACGAAAUAGUAGCUUUUUUGCAGCAUGGAACCGUUCCUGAGGAUAAAAUAAAGGUUCAUGCACUUCGAAAGAAAGCUGCUUGUUAUUGCCUAUAUCAAGGAAACCUUUAUCGAAAAAUAUUUGGUGGACCACUAGCAAGGUGUCUCGUACCUUCUCAAAUGGAGUAUGUGAUGAGAGAAAUACAUGAGGGACAUUGUGGAAAUCAUGCAUGAGGCAUGUCACUCGUAAAGACAUUGAUUCGAGCAGGAUACUAUUGGCCAAAAAUGGAAGAGGAAGCAAAUGAUUUCGUGUCUAAAUGUGACAGAUGUCAAAUAUACGGUAAAAAUAUGCAUAUACCAGCCGAACUGUUACACCCUGUUGUAUCUCCGUGGCCCUUCAUGAAAUGGGGGAUGGAAAUCGUAGGUCCUUUACCACAAGUAAAUAGUCAGUUAAAGUUUUUACUCGAACUUACUGAUUAUUUCACUAAAUGGGUAGAAGAAGGGGCAUUCAAACAGGUACGAGGGAAAGAGGUCAAAGAUUUUAUUUGGAGAAACUUCAUAUGCGACUUUGGGGUAUCAAAGUAAAUCAUAUGUGAUAAUGGUCCACAAUUCAUAGGAGCACAAAUCACGAAGUUCUUCCAAAGUUGGCAAAUUAAAAGGAUAACCUCAACUCCAUAUCAUUCUGUAGGCAAUGGACAAGCGGAAUCCACAAACAAAGUCAUAAUCAAUAAUUUAAAGAAAAGAUUGCAAGACUCAAAAGAUAAUUGGCCUGAAGUGUUACCUGCGGUAUUAUGGGCGUAUUGAACAACGACGAAAACAAGCACGGGAGAAACACCAUUUUUAAUGGUUUAUGUAGCAGAGGCCUUAAUACUAGUGAAGAUAGGGGAACCAAGCACAAGGUACGUUGAAACAAUAGAAGACUCAAAUAAUGAAUAGUUACGAGUGAAUCUUGAUUUGCUCUAAGGAAGAAGAGAAGCGGCAUUAAUAAGGAUGGCAGCUCAAAAACAAGUAAUUGAACAAUACUAUAACAGGAAAGCACGUCUCAGAUUUUUCAAAAUUAGGGACUUUGUUCUCAAAAAGGUGUUCUAAUCUACGAAAGCUACUAACUCUGGAAAGCUAAGUCAAACGUGGGAAAGUCCAUAUCGAAUCCGUGACAUUGCAGGGAAAGGAACAUACGAGUUGGAGACAAUGGAUGGCAAGGUCCUACCUUCACAUUGGAAUAAUGUCCAUCUAAAGAGAUAUUAAUUCUAAGGGAGUGGUCGAAGUCAUGAGAAAAUCCUAACUCGUGCCAAAUGAUAAGUCACGACCUACACGACAAAAUGGAAUACUCUUAAAUUUUGAGCCUAGGGUUACAUUAAUCUGAUGGAAAUACACACGAGUUAGGCAGUCUUCAUCUAUAAUCGCACCUCUGAGUCCCGUAUAUUUUUCUAUUUAAGGAAAAGGACCAAACUCAGAGAAACAUACAAGUGCUCGAGGCGUCAUUCUUCACCGCUCAAACACUUGGGGGACUACAUAUUAUACACAGAUGCGUGUAGAAAAAUAUAUGUGAAUAUCACAAGAUACUAAUAUCGAACAAACGUUCAUCAAAGUUUUAGAGACAAGUGUUGAGAAGAAAUUACGAAGUAAUCAAUACUCAGCAUAAAAGGGCCCUCUUUUAUAAACCUCAUGUUGAUAUUCCAUGAGAAGAAUCAUAAAGCAUUUUCAAAAGAUAAAAAUGCUAAGCUAUUCUAUAAGUCCUAAAUAAGUAAAUAGACAGGAAUAGAGUAUUAAGAAGUAACCAUAAAAAACUUCUUAUCAUAAAAGACUAAGGAAAAACUUAGUCAUCGAAAUGUUAGUUUUACAAAUGCCCCAUUAUGGUCACUGGGAACUUCCCUUCAAAAAUGCUAAGGGAAAAUAUUAACAAUCACUAAAAAAAACUUAAUACAUUUAACUGGUCGAUGAAGAAAUCGGAGCUUCAGAAGUUGUAACAUUACUUUCAGAAGCAAUAACAGGUGCGGUCACAACUUCUGAAGAAGCAGCAAUAAGAACGGUUUCAACUAAGCUUGAAGCAUUAACAUCAACGAGGGAAGCAGUAGUCACAGGAAAUUCAAUUCCCAUGGACUGUGUCAUAGAGGUUUCACCCUCAGAAGCCGGAAUCACAACUUCAAGUACCUCAGUAACUACUUCAGAGUUUAAUAACUCAUCCGUUCCAGGAGCUUCAAGUGCCAGAGAAGGGGUAUCAACACUUCCAAGUGCAGGAGAAGGAGUAUCAGCAAGUUGUUUGCUUUUCUUGAUAGUAUCCAUGACUUUGUCCAAUUCAGAUUGCAAGUCAAAAUUUUCUUGUGUAGCCUCCAUCAAGGCAUCACGACGAGAAUAUAGAAAAGCCCAACUCACCUCUAUAUUAAAAUUUUCUUCAAGAGCAUUAUACUCCUUCUCCAAAGCAUUAUAUUCUUUUUCCCACAUAGCAAUAUCAUUUUUUUCAAUUUGGUGCUCAGCUAGGUGGGAAUCCAACAAAUCUUCAAGAGAGGCAUGGAACUUUCCAAGGCACGAAUUUUCUCUAAAGAAGUCCUCAGGUCAUUUUGAGCAUGAGUUGGGUUUCCAGCUAACUCUCUUGCGUAUUCUUCCUUCUUCUCCAAAAGUGCCUUAAGCUCUUUAAACUCAUCAUUGGCUUUAGAAAGAGAGCAUUCCAAAAGCUCUUUAUCCUUUUUAAGUUGGCCCCAAGAAGCAUUGGCAAUUCCCAACUCCAAAAAUAAGCUACGAUUUUGCUGCUCCAAGUGAGCCGUGCUCUCAUGUAACUCUUCUAUAGUCCCUUGGGCACUCUUGAAUUGAUCUUUCUAGUUUGCUGCCUCAAGUAAGGCAUCCUCAGCUAUUUUCCUAGCUUCAGAGAUGGCCUUAGUGGACUCACGCUCCUUUUUCUCUAACACAGAGACUCGCCCCAUCAGCUUAGUCCCAAUAAGAUUAGCCUACAGUUAUAAACAUAAAAGUAAAAAUUUAUAAGGAAAAAGAAGGAAAGCAUUUAAGGUUAAGAAAAUUACCUUUAAAGUUGAAUGAACUAUGUCAUUCAUCAAAGCAUAACAGCUUGGCUCUGCAUCUUUUCCCUCUCAAUCUCUCCAAUAAGAGGCUCGAGCCAAGUAUCUGCUCCUUUAGAUUUUCUUAAGAGGCUUUGAUUGGCAGGGACUUCGAAUGUGACACCCCUCAUAGUCAUGUCUCUAUUGCUGGAACUUACUUCUAUUGGAGAGGCAGAUAAAGAUGGAACAACAGAAGGGGGAGUGGUAGAAAAGGUAAACACCACAGGAGUCGUAGGAAUUGAGGCAGGAGCGGAAGGAGUAGGUGUAGAAAUUAACCCAGGAACGGAAGUAGAAGUAGUUAAAACUUGUGAAGGAACAGAAGCAAUCAAUGAUGGCAAUGAAACAUUUACGGUUGGCAAAGGAAUGGAGGAAGUAGGAACGAAUGAAGAGAGAUGGGCUUCAUAAAAAACAGGUCCGAGCUCGCCACUCCAAAAGCUACUAUCAAAAGGACGCUGAGUUGAUUCAUUCGUACCUCUUGGCACGGUGUCCACGUCUGAAGGAAUCAAAACAGCUCGAUGGCUGAAGUUUGAGCAGGAAUAUCUUCGAUUUCAUCAUCAUUGAUGACUCGUCUAAUAACCCUUGGCCUGGCUACUAACGAGGUACCUUCCUCUUCCCCAUUCUCCGAGCCUUCUCCUAUAGCUUUUCUUUUUUGAAGCAAGGCUCGAGCCUUGUCCAAAUCAAGUGCAGCAUUGCCAGACAUGCGAAUGGCCAUAGCAACAUCGGGUGCCAUUCCUUUGGAACCAAAUCCUGAUCAAAAGAAGGAUAUACAAUCAGCAUUGAGGAAAAGGUACUUAAUGUGUAAAAAGAUGAAACCGUGUGUUUUAACUUUCCAGUCCAUUCCUUUAGAACCAAAUCCGGAUCAAAAGAAGAAUAUAUAAUCAGCAUUAAGGAAAAGGUACUUAAUGUGUAAAAAAACAUGUAAAAAGAUGAUACCGUGUGUUGGAAAGUCAUGUAUGGCAGAAAUUGAUUUCCAAGUUCUUUGCUCCUUAGGAGCAAUCUUCAAAAUUGAAUUUACCCAACCACGAAAGUUGGGAAUAGGUUCCACAUCUCCCAUGGUUGCUAAAAGAAAACCAAAAAGAGACAAAGUCAGAAAAAAAUCAAAAUUCUCCAAAAAAAAAAGGUACGGUCCAAUAAAAAAGCUUACGUGCAAAAUUCUACUUCUCGAGGAAGGGAAUAUUUUUUUCACCAAGCAUGUCCACCGUACAUACAGCAACGUAACGGGCAUACCAUCCACGAUCUUUGUCAUCUUCUAGGCUUACAAAAACCUUGUUGCUUCUCGCGGUUAAGGUAAAAACCCCAUGGCGUAUUAAGUUAGGAUGGUGCAAAUGGAUGAAGUGAGAAAAGGAGAAGUUGAAGUUGGCUUUGGUAGAUAGAAAUCUUAAACAAGCCACUGCCCUCCACACUACAGGACCAACUUAGGCCAAAUAAAUAUCAAAGAAACGACAAAAAUCGAGAAUGAUCGAGUCAAUCGAAGGAUUAAAACCCAAAGUAAAAGGGUAAGUAUAAACAAAAGAAUACCCAAUCCUAAAAGAAGAGAUUCUUUGAUUUGGGGCAGGAAUAGAUAUUCGGAGACUAUUUUUCCAGUUACAAUCACUUCUAAUGGUAGGGAUUGUAAGUUCGGUCCCUAAAGUAGGAUAUGUAUUGGCCUUUUCUAAACCACCAAUUUUCUUUUCAAGAGAUUGUCUAUCACUCAUAAAAGACAAGUCACUGGGUACGAUUUCAUUCACUAAAGGUUCUCGGGAAGAAUAAGAGAUUUCUUUACCUUUAGAAGAAGGCGUUUUUGGAAUAGAACUCCUAGAAGAGGAACCAGAAGAGCCGCCUCGAGUAGAUUCUAACCCUGUUCGAAGUCUGCCACCUCAUAAGAGAUUUCUUUACCUUUAGAAGAAGGCGUUUUUGGAAUAGAACUCCUAGAAGAGGAACCAGAAGAGCCGUCUCGAGUAGAUUCUAACUCUGUUCGAAGCCAGACACCUCUGCCUUUUCUAUUUCUAACAGGGGCAUUGGGAAAUUUGUCUAAAAUUGGAACUCUUUUGGGGUUAGGGUUUGGAGAUGCCAUUGCUGAACAAAGUUGGAUCGAAACAGAGCACAAGUAAGGAAGAGAGUGUUUGCUUAUGAUUUGUGAAGAAGAAGACAAAGGAAGAAAAAGGUUAAGUAUGUAUACGAUGGCAACCGUCGAACUUAGAAGUGUAAUGAUUGGAAGCCUAUAAUAAAGGCAACUAUCACUUCGUGAAUAGAAGAAGCCUUGGAAAAGAGUGCAAAAUGGCAAAGUAAAUUAGAAAGUGACACAUGGACAGAAUAUUAAAUGGAAAAGACGACCGAGACGUCAAUACUGUCAAUUGAACAAAGUUGGAUCGAAAUAAAGCAAAAGUAAAGAAGAGAGUGUUUGCUAAAGAUUUGUGAAGAAGAAGACAAAGGAAGAAAAUGGUUAAGUAUGUAUACGAUGACAACCGUCAAACUUAGAAGUGUAAUGAUGGAAAGCCUAUAAUAAAGGCAACUAUCACUUCGUGAAUAGUGGAGUGAAGAAUUCUUGAAAAGGGGUGCAAAAUGGCAGAGUCAAUCAAAAAGUGACACAUGGACUGAACAUUAAAUGGAAAAGACAACCGAGACGUCAAUACUGUCAUAUGCAUUAAUUAUGGCAAAAAUUCUCUUUUUUAUGAAGAUCCACUUCCCAAUUAUUUAAUUGAUAAAUAAAUGGAAAGUGGGGGAACUAUUUGUAUUGGAAAAAAAUUAAAUUUAUAUUAAAGAUGAUGCGGCAUGAUACGUGGACUGGUCAAAUAGUCAAAGCGUAAUAAUCGAGUAAAAGGCACGGGAGAUGACAGAUACGGAAAGAGAAAUUUAAACAGGCAUGAGAAGGAGUUUAGAUACGAGUCUCGUACCAAUUCAAGUCAUUUAAUGCCAACGGAUCAAAAGGCAUUGAAGACAAGGANNNNNNNNNNNNNNNNNNNNNNNNNNNNNNNNNNNNNNNNNNNNNNNNNNNNNNNNNNNNNNNNNNNNNNNNNNNNNNNNNNNNNNNNNNNNNNNNNNNNNNNNNNNNNNNNNNNNNNNNNNNNNCAAAAAAGUCCAAAUUCAGUAUUAAAUACCUGAUACGUUAGAGAAUUGGUAUUUAAUAGGAAUGAUUGUGCAACAGCUCAUUUAAUGUCAUUUAUUACUC
rnacentral:lncRNA from 1 species